rnacentral:rRNA from 1 species
GACGAACGCUGGCGGCGCGCCUAACACAUGCAAGUCGAACGGAGCUGAGAGAAGCUUGCUUUUCUUAGCUUAGUGGCGAACGGGUGAGUAACGCGUGAGUAACCUGCCCUGGAGUGGGGGACAACAGCUGGAAACGACUGCUAAUACCGCAUAAGCCCACGAUCCGGCAUCGGAUUGAGGGAAAAGGAUUUAUUCGCUUCAGGAUGGACUCGCGUCCAAUUAGCUAGUUGGUGAGGUAACGGCCCACCAAGGCGACGAUUGGUAGCCGGACUGAGAGGUUGAACGGCCACAUUGGGACUGAGACACGGCCCAGACUCCUACGGGAGGCAGCAGUGGGGGAUAUUGCACAAUGGGGGAAACCCUGAUGCAGCGACGCCGCGUGGAGGAAGAAGGUUUUCGGAUUGUAAACUCCUGUCGUUAGGGACGAUAAUGACGGUACCUAACAAGAAAGCACCGGCUAACUACGUG